rnacentral:rRNA from 1 species
AACGAACGCUGGCGGCAUGCCUAACACAUGCAAGUCGAACGAGACCUUCGGGUCUAGUGGCGCACGGGUGCGUAACGCGUGGGAACCUGCCCUUAGGUUCGGAAUAACUCCCCGAAAGGGGUGCUAAUACCGGAUAAUGUCUUCGGACCAAAGAUUUAUCGCCUUUGGAUGGGCCCGCGUUGGAUUAGCUAGUUGGUAGGGUAAAAGCCUACCAAGGCGACGAUCCAUAGCUGGUCUGAGAGGAUGAUCAGCCACACUGGGACUGAGACACGGCCCAGACUACUACGGGAGGCAGCAGUGGGGAAUAUUGGACAAUGGGCGAAAGCCUGAUCCAGCAAUGCCGCGUGAGUGAUGAAGGCCUUAGGGUUGUAAAGCUCUUUUACCCGGGAUGAUAAUGACAGUACCGGGAGAAUAAGCUCCGGCUAACUCCG